AGAGUCAGGAAGAACAUGCUGCAUUCUGAUGCUGAGCUCUCUUCUUUAGACGGAGGACAAAAACCGCCAGUUACAGGAGCGCCUGGAGCUGGCUGAGCAGAAGCUGCAGCAGACCUUGAGGAAAGCAGAGACACUUCCUGAGGUGGAGGCAGAGCUGGCCCAAAGAGGGGCAGCGCUGUCCAAGGCUGAAGAGAGACAUGGCAACAUUGAAGAGAGGCUACGGCAGAUGGAGGCGCAGCUGGAGGAGAAGAACCAAGAGCUGCAGCGGGUGAGUGCAGAGGUAGAGGGGGUCAAAUGGAUUUGAGCCAGAAGUUCCAAGGCCAAGCGAGGGCUG
rnacentral:lncRNA from 1 species